GUGCACCAGGCGCGAAUUUUUCACAAUGGGGGAAACCCUGAUGGAGCGACGCCGCGUGGAGGAUGAAGGCCCUCGGGUCGUAAACUCCUGUCAUGCGGGAACAAGAAAGUGAUAGUACCGCAAGAGGAAGAGACGGCUAACUCUGUGCCAGCAGCCGCGGUAAUACAGAGGUCUCAAGCGUUAUUCGGAUUCAUUGGGCGUAAAGGGUGCGUAGGUGGCGAUGUAAGUCUGGUGUGAAAUCUCGGGGCUUAACCCCGAAACUGCAUUGGAUACUGCGUUGCUUGAGGAUUGUAGAGGAGAGUGGAAUUCACGGUGUAGCAGUGAAAUGCGUAGAUAUCGUGAGGAAGACCAGUUGCGAAGGCGACUCUCUGGGCAAUUCCUGACACUGAGGCACGAAGGCCAGGGGAACAAACGGGAUU
rnacentral:rRNA from 1 species